rnacentral:rRNA from 1 species
GACGAACGCUGGCGGCGUGCUUAACACAUGCAAGUCGAACGGAAAGGCCCUGCUUUUGUGGGGUGCUCGAGUGGCGAACGGGUGAGUAACACGAGAGUAACCUGCCCUUGACUUUGGGAUAACUUCAGGAAACUGGGGAUAAUACCGGAUAGGAGCUCCUGCUGCGUGGUGGGGGGUGGAAAGUUUCGGCGGUUGGGGAUGGACUCGCGGCUUAUCAGCUUGUUGGUGGGGUAGUGGCUUACCAAGGCUUUGACGGGUAGCCGGCCUGAGAGGGUGACCGGCCACAUUGGGACUGAGAUACGGCCCAGACUCCUACGGGAGGCAGCAGUGGGGAAUAUUGCACAAUGGGCGGAAGCCUGAUGCAGCGACGCCGCGUGCGGGAUGACGGCCUUCGGGUUGUAAACCGCUUUCACCUGUGACGAAGCGUGAGUGACGGUAAUGGGUAAAGAAGCACCGGCUAACUACGUG